UGAACGAGCAGUGGGGCAGUACAGCAUGCUGGUGGAGUACAGCAGUGCCCUGGCGAGAGAGAACAAUGAAAAUGAUCCUGCCAGCAGCGAAGGAGGAAGUGAACGCAGUGCUGUGUAAUUUGAUAACAGCUACUCUAUAAAUCCAAGCUUUAAAAGUAAUCUAGCUAGAACAAAUAAAUCUUAGUAAAAGUUACAUGUACCAACAUGCAACUUGAACUAAAGCGGCAAUUAUUCCUUUGGUAUGGGUUAGGCACUAUAGAGCAUCUGUCAGUGAGAUAUCUGUCCUUCAUUCAUGGCUUCAACUUAGAUUAGACAUACCCUGCCACUUUGAAUAUUUUGCAUUAACUAUGAGACUGUAAAGGAUCUGUCUAUCUGUAAAUAAAAGAUCUAUAUCUUAUGUAAUGGUACUUAAGUGUUGUCGAAUUAGCACAUGGAGAUGUUAUCUGAUUGGUGAUUCAGUGUGUCAUUAACCUUGAGAGGCUAACAGGAAGAAACAUGAAAACAAGUCAUAUAACUAAGAAGAAAUAUAAGUAAGCCAUAAAAUAACAUAAAUGACAAAUAAAGCUGGUAGAAUCUAUUCCUGUUUUUACUUCACUUGGCAGCUCAUUUUUGGAUGUCUUCUCUUAUUAUCCUCCAGCUCUCUGAGUGAGCUGAAGACAGGACACUGUGUCCAUGCCUCUCCUGAGAAAACAGUCCAGCAAGGAGCAGAGCAUAGAGCAUAAACAUGCUGCCUUACAGCAUUACUGUGCUGUUUGUUGUCUCUAAAUUCUAUGUGUGUGGCUAACUGCAAAAUGAAACAAAAAAGAUUUCAAGGAUUUCAGGGGAAAAAAGACCCUUGAAAAGUUCAUAAGAACUGUACAAGAGAGGUCAGUGGGAAGGAAUGUCCAUGCAUACCCAUGACAUUAGACUCAUGGCUGGCAGAUAUUGCUGUCAAACAAAAAAUAUUGCAGAGGUCAGGGAAUGAAGGGUGUUCUGUGUUUGAGAUAUUUUUACUGAGUCCCCUUCAUCUUGCACAUUUUUUUUCUUUGUAUAAAUUAUGACGUACCCAUGUUUAUCUUUUUUUAAGUACUGACACUGAUUUCAGUCAAGUGCUGCUUGAUGGCCACUGAUAUACCAUAAGCAAACAAAAAGAGUAAGCAAUUGAAUAAAACCCCCAUAGAUAUAACAAAUAAUGACAUUAUAAUUGUCAUAUUUUGAUAGCUGAUAUUGGUAGACUAUAUCUCUGUGGACUGUAACUAGUUUUCUUCUCAUACAUUAAGUGACACUUUAGCUUUGCAGAAUAUAUAGUGAAUUUGUAUUAAUAACAAAGCUGCAAAAAGUAUGAGAAAUUCUGAAGGCAAUUUCUGCUGAAUAUUUUUCCUUCAAAACAAAGGAUUUUAUUUUUCCCUACACCAUGGCUAAAUUUGAUUUCCUCUUAAUAAAGGGUUACAGCUCAUUUCUUCGAGAUUAUUUCUCUUUGUCUCACACUUGGUGCAAGAAACAAAUUAUUUAGUGUUAAAAUGCAUUCAUACUUUAUAUAUUAAAUACUUUUGAAAGAUUGCUUCCUGUAUGGGAAAUGUUGAGUCGUGGCCUGAGCCACUGCUUGAUCCCCUGAGGCAAGCACUGAGUAAGUCAUGGGAGCACAGGUGAAGGCAAUUCAGCUGCAUGACCGGAAGGGGUGGAGCCUGGCUGCACCUCUCUUAGAUCCCAUUUAAAGGCUGACUGCCACUGGGGAAGGAUCUCUUUCUGGAGAGACUCCUUUUGGAGUUUUCUACUGCUGGCCUGAGAUGUGGCAUCAAGUUUUCUCUGUGUCAAACAAAAUUCUCCAAAGCUGAGGAGGACCCAGCACCAAUUACUCCUUUAAGAUUUCUACUGCAGCAAUUAAGCUUAUCUCUUUGUGAUUAAGAAGAAAGGAAUGAAAUACUUGACUUCUGCAAUCUUAAUUUUCUUCUCUUUCAUUACUACUGCUUUUCUGGCACUUGACAAUGAAAUAUUUUUAAUGUAUAAUGAGGAUAGUAAACUGUGCCUAAUUGCUCAGAGUUCUCAUGCAGUCACAAUAGCUGCUUGCAAAAAAAACAGCGAAUUACAGAAAUUCAGGUGGGUGUCUGACCACCAGGUGAUGAGUGUGGCAUUUGCACAAUGUUUGGGAGUGCGCUACAAGCAAGAUCAGGCUAAAAUUUCUUUGUAUCCCUGCAACAAAGAAAGUGAAUUCCAAAAAUGGGGCUGCAGAAACUCAACCUUGGUAAUCCAUGGAGAGAACUUAUUUCUCAGUGUUGGUAAAAGAAAGAAAGAUAAUAUUGUAUUGGACUCAGGAUCAGAUACAAUGAACAAAUGGAAGAUCUAUGGAACCAUGGAUGACUUGUGUUCUCAAGGCUAUAAAGAUCUAUUUACACUGCUAGGAAACUCCCAUGGAGCUCCGUGCACCUUUCCUUUUCAGCUGAAUGGGAAGUGGUAUGCAGGGUGCACAGAUGCUGGCCGGUUGGACGGCUUGCUGUGGUGCGCAACGACCCCCAACUUUGACAUCGAUCACUUGUAUGGGUUCUGUCCCAUUGGCAGCAGUGACAAUGACAAAUUUUGGAGUACGGAUCCCUUGACAGGAACCUUCUACCAGAUAAACUUCCAGUCAGCUCUCACGUGGCACCAAGCAAGGCAGAGCUGCAAGCAGCAGAACGCAGAGUUAUUAAGCGUCACAGAGAUGCAUGAACAGACGUAUCUGAGAGAUCUGAUUGACAGCAACAGAUCACCUCUCUGGAUUGGAUUGAACAGUCUGAAUCUCCACAGUGGGUGGCAAUGGAGUGGUGGUACUCCUUUCAGAUACAUUAACUGGGCACCAGGAAGCCCUUCUCCUGAACCUGAGAAACUCUGUGCAGUACUAAAUCCCAGAAUAUAUGCUAAAUGGGAAAACCGGCCGUGUGAGCAGAAAGUUGGCUAUAUCUGUAAAAAGGAAAACUCCACACUGGGUCCUUCCAGUCUUCAAUUAGAGGAUGCAGAACCUGUUAAAUGCCCAGAAGGAUGGUUGCCCUAUGCAGGUCAUUGUUACGUGAUUCAUAGAGAGCUCAAGGCAUGGAAAGAUGCCUUAAUGUCCUGCAAUGAGAGCAAUGGCAAUCUGGCCAGUAUCCACAACCCUGAAGAGCAUGCCUUCAUACUGUCUCAGCUUGGUUAUAAAGCCAUAGAUGAGCUCUGGCUUGGAAUGAAUGACUUCAGCACUCAGAUGUAUUUUGAGUGGAGUGACGAGACUCCUGUGACAUAUACCAAAUGGUUGCCUGGAGAACCAACCCAUGCAGUCAAUGGGCAAGAAGAUUGUGUUGCCAUGGCAGGGGAGGAUGGAUAUUGGGCGGACAGUACCUGUGAUAGGAAGUUAGGCUACAUCUGCAGGAGAGGGCCACUACAGGGAGUUUCAGGAACAAUGAAGACUGAUCCUGCUUGUACAAAGGGCUGGACAAGACAUGGUUCUUAUUGCUAUCUAGUUGGACAUGCACCCGUAACAUUUUCAGAAGCAGUGAAAACCUGUGAAAGGAUUGGUAGCUAUUUAACAACUGUAGAAGACAGGUAUGAGCAAGCCUACCUGACCAGCUUUGUUGGUCUGAGCUCUGAGAAGUGCUUCUGGAUUGGUCUCUCCAACACAGAAGAGCAAGAAAUCUUCAAGUGGGAGACUGGUGAAGGCGUUUUCUACACAAAUUGGAACUCAGCAAUGCCUGGGAAAGAAGUAGGUUGUGUUGCCCUGAGGACUGGAAGUGCAGCUGGACUAUGGGAUGUUCAGAACUGUGAACUAAAGGCAAAAUUUCUCUGCAAAAAAGCAGCUGAAAAAAUAACUCGUCCGCUUGCUCCUGGAAAAAAUUCCAAUUUCAAAUGUCCUUUGGGUUGGAAUACAAGUAAUAGCACUAAUUCUUGCUUCAGAACCUUUGUGAGAGAAAAAAAUCACAAGAAAACAUGGUUUGAAGCCAGAGAUUUCUGCAGAGAAAUAGGAGGAGAUCUCGCUGCUAUUAAUAGUGAAGAAGAGCAAAGAGUGAUAGAAAACUUAAUAACGAAGAAACUGCCAUCAUCUCAGCUUUUCUGGAUAGGUUUGCAGCGUUUGGAUCCUGAUGGUGGGCUGUCCUGGAGUGACAGAUCCCCGGUGAGUUACAUGAAAACAAUUUCUUUUUACGACACUCCAUUAGAAAAUUGCGGAGCAAUCAGCAAAGAGCAUUCCAUCUCCUGGAUUAACAUGCACUGUGAAUACAGUCAGGACUGGAUUUGUGAAAUAAAGGAAGGAACACUCUUGAAGCCAGAACCUGUCAGCCCUUCUGCCAUGUAUGAAGUCACAGAAGAUGGCUGGAUUAUAAAAGAGGACAAACAGUAUUUUUUCAGCACAGAAAGUACAUCUAUGGAAAAAGCCAGAAUGUUCUGCAGAAACCACCAUGGAGAUCUUGCUAUUAUUGGAGAUAAUAAUAAAAGAAUUUUUUUGUGGAAAUAUAUCUUAAAAAAUGGCAAACUGCAUUCAUAUCUCAUAGGAUUAAUCCUGAAUGCUGACCAACAGUUUAGAUGGAUAGAUGGAAGUACUUUACGCUAUGCACCUUGGGCAGAGGGGGAACCCAACUUUGCUUCUGCUCAAGAACAUUGUGUGGUCUUAGAUAAAAAAUAUGGUUUGUGGAAUGAUGUUAGCUGUGGUCAUUCACAUGGCUUUAUCUGUGAGAGGCAUGGGAGUUUUGUGAAUGCCACACUUUCUCCAGCAGCAACUUCACCUCCAGGAGGAUGUCCUGAAGACUGGCUUUUAUUUAAAAAUCAGUGUUACAAAUUUUUUGGUUCUCAAUUUCAAUAUUGGUAUACUGCAAAUACAGACUGUAUCAGCCUUGGAGGACAUCUGGCUACCAUACAAAAUGAACAAGUACAAGCUUUUCUCACUUACCAUUUGAAGAAUGUUUUAUACGAUCCCUGGAUUGGCUUGAAUGAUAUAAUUAGUGAACUCAACUUUGUUUGGGCUGAUGGAAGUGCUGUUUCCUAUACAAACUGGGCUCCAGAUUCCCCAAAAAUUUAUGAACCUAUUUUAUUUGACAGCCUCCGUCCAGAAGAUGAUGGCAAUCGGAUGCAGUAUGACUGUGUUUCUCUGAAGAGAGAUUAUACUGAUAUAGGAAAAUGGAGUGAUGAGCCAUGUUAUAAAUCCAGUGGGUAUAUAUGCCAGAAGAACAGCGACCCUAAACUCUAUAAGUCAUCGGUAACAGUGUUGGAAUUUGCUUUUGACCAUUCUGAUGGCAUUAGCUACUCUGUCACCCAUUCCAAAAUGAAUUGGGAAGAAGCACAACAAUCCUGCAAGAGCAAUUCCUCAGAACUUGCUAGCAUUUUAGAUCCAUAUAGCCAGUCACUACUGUUCUUAAUUGCACAGGAAUAUGGGCAGCCUAUGUGGAUUGGUCUUAACAGCUACAUGACAGAGGGCAAGUAUCAUUGGAUUGACAGAUGGAGAUUAGUUUACAGCAAGUGGUCCAGCGGGGAACCAAAACAGACAUUAGCAUGUGUCUACUUAGAUACUGAUGGAACCUGGAAGACAACUUCAUGCGAGGAGAAACACUUUUCCAUCUGUAAGAAGUCAGAUGUAACAGCCCCUACUGAGCCCCCUCAGCUUCCUGGAAAAUGCCCUGAAUCAAAAGGACACAAAUCUUGGAUACCUUUCCAUGGUCACUGCUACUACUUUGAGGCUGUCAGGAAAAAAAGCUGGUCUCAAGCUCGUCGGGAGUGUGCCCAACUAGCUGCUGACUUGGUAUCUGUAGGAGACUAUACUGAAGCAAACUUUCUGGCAGAAACCAUUAAGAUACUUCAUGGAAAAUCUCCAAACUUUUGGAUAGGUCUAAAGAGGGAUGACAGAGAACAAUGGGUAUGGACAGACAAGUCAGAAUUGGAUUUUGUCAACUGGCAAAUUGGGGAGCCUACAAACAGAAUGCAUAAAGACUGUGGAGAAGUAUGUGCAUUGACUGGGUUCUGGAACACCAACGUCUGUUCUUUCAGAAAAGGAUAUAUCUGUAAAAAAGCAAAAACUGCGGAAAAGAUAGAGAUGUCACCUGAAAAUAGGGGACAGAAAAUGGAGACAGUGCUUUCUACUGGCAUCAUAUGGCUGUUUGUUUUAUUAGCCCUUUUUAUAGUUGGAGCUGUAAGUGCAGUUUACUUCUAUUUGAGGAACAAGGGACAAAACCAAGCAGUCAAUCAUUCUGCAUGUUUCUCAUCCCCACUGAGUUAUGGAAACAUCUUGCUCCGAGCUUCUGUAGGGCACCUGGCAAACAGAAGGACUCAAGAAAAGAAGUGUAUGAAGAAGCUAGAGCAAAAGAGCUUCUACCAAGUAUCUGUAAGGAGAAACAGAUGCUCUCUCAGAACUGUCUGUAAGAACUGUAGUCAGGAUUUCCUGUGUUUAAGAUGACUGACAAAAAUGUUAAAAUUCUUAUUUAAAUGGAGUAAGUUGUACAUGUGGAAUAGGUUUAUGCAUCAGAAUAUAUGUUUUUUUGUCUGACUGGCUUGAGAACACAUUUGUAUUAUCCUUAUAAUUGGCCUUGUAUUAUCCUUAUAAUUGGCCUCUUCUCUAGGUAGCUAGUAAACAAUAAAGUAAAAAUUCUAUUGUUAGCGACUUAGAAUGGAAGUAGCUCCUUGCUUCAGCUGUUUUAUCAAGGCAUCGCAUAUUUGGUAUCAGAUGUUUUUGCCUGAGCUUUCAUUUCUUCUCUUACACUCCUUUGUUGGAUGGAUGCCUUAUUCUACAGCUUUGGCUGAGUUUGUAGGGAAGGCUCUCCAAUCACAGAUAUUGAAGGACAUAUCUAGAUUGUAAGACUUUUCCCUUUCUAGUAUGUCUGUGUGACUGUAUUUAAUGAAGAGAAGUGGUAAAAACACCCACCACCAAAAAUUACAGAUUAUUUAGAGAGAUUAAAAAUGCAGUAAAUCAAAAGUAAAUUCUAUAAUUAAUGCUCUUUAAAUACAGAGGAAAGCCCUGAAAUAAAAACACAUAAGAAAAAAUUUCUGAAUUGAUAUAGUGAAUCCUAUAAUCCCAUCACUCCUGUGAUGAAAAAGGAGUCACAGUUAUUCUCAAGAGGAAAUAGGAAAUAACUGAGGACUUUGGAUAAAAAUGGAAGGAGAAAAACACCACCUGUUUCCCACUGAGACAACUAAAGAUUAAAUUGUUUCCGGAUAUGUGCUACAGGAAUCUGGGAAUAAACAGUUACACUUGUCUUUUUGGAUGAGCAAAGAAUGAAAGUGCUUUUCCUGUUUUAUUCUUAAAAGCAAUUCAGGCUGCAGAGUCUUACAGUAUAUAUGUCCAUGUCAGACAGCCCUAUAAAUUGAAAUUAUUUUCCCAAAAGGAAUAAUGCUUUCUUAGGAAAUGCAUGAUAGAAAAGACUUAUUUUUUUCUGUUAAAGUUAUUUGCAAGUUUUAUGGUCUGUACCCAUAAAAACUGAGCUCAUAGCACAAGCGUUCUAGUCAAACUCAGCACCACCUGUGAGCUCCUAGGAAGAACCAUGGCUGGUACUGCAUCUGUGCUAGAAGUAAGAAGAGCUCAAUGAUCAGGCUGCUUUGCAUGCCAAGCACCAGGAUUAUCUUUAGAAAAUUAUUUGGUAUAGAUCUUUACAACUAUUUUGUAGUUGAAUUGAACAUAACAUCUCAACAAGACAUGGGUAUAAUCAUGGGCUAGGUAUAAAUUAUGUUGUUGAUCCCCUGCAAGAAACAGAGAAGCUGCAAAGUCUUGCUCCUGACUCAGAAAAGGGAAAGAGAAAAGCAUCCUGGUGAGAAAAGCAGUGAAAAUGGGUGUGGGCAGAAUGAGCUAGUGCAGCAGGUCUGUGUCCACCCAAGGGAUUGUGAAAAAGGCCAAAGCUCUGCCCAGAGCUGCUCAUGUUAAAUAGGUAGUCAUCAUUUACUGGCAGCAUGGAAUGGCAUUGCCGUAGUAAGGACGGCCUAUUCAUUCAAUCAAGAACAGACACUGGGACAGGGAUCUGUGUGUCAGGAAUACUCCAAUUCCCCUACACCUCUUUUUUGAUCUAUUUAUUGUUUGAACUGACACCUUACUGAACACCUCAUCCAUAGUUCAGACACAAAAGAUUAUUGCAUAAGAUUAUUGCACACUUGGUUAAACUACAUAGGACAGAGUCACUCCUUCCUGUGCAUUAUCUCACUGUCCAAAACAGAUGGUCUGCCUGUUUCUCUUCAAAAUGGCCUGUAUAUGCAGUUCUGUGCCUGGGACAUGAAAAAGUACUGCUUACUAUGAAUAUCUCAGUUAAAAUUAGCUUUGUCAUGGGGGAGAGAAGACAUACUGCCCCUGCUGUUAAACAUAAGCAUUUAUACUGGAGCAUGUGUGUGUGUGCAUGCAUAACUGCUCCCCUUGCUUUUAUAGAUAUUUCUUGGUUUUCCUUACCAUUUUUUGAAGGAUACCUUCUCUGGAAGUACACUGUGAUCAAUUUGUGGCAGGAAAAUAUCACUCAGCAAUGGAAAUAGAGUAGCAUUGCAGGACGCAGUUGGUUUUAUCUGUAUAUAAUGUGAAGGGAGGAGCUGUGCCAAACAGUGAACACUGAAGAAGAAAGGAUGACGUGGUAUUGUAAAUAUGGGAGAAGGAAUGGUGACUCAAAAACAGCAGCAUGUAGUCUGCUUGGGACUUAUUAAUUACACUGCUUGUAAGUUUUGAAGUUAGAACCAAGUGAACAUACAACUGCUGUAAUGACGUCAGUGAAACGAAUCAUAGGCAACUCUGAUCCCAGUAGCUUAUGCUCACAGAAUAAACAGGAAUUGCAGAAACAUUUUUUUUUUUUUCUCACUGUACAACAGCUGAAAAUAUUUAGGAUUUUUAAGAACUGAUAUUCCUCCACAAACAGUUGUUACUAUGCAUUUUAAAUAAGCUUCUCCUUGUUCCCUACUUCUCCACCCAGAAUAAAUUUUUAUAGAGAGGAAAAAAUUUAGCGAUUGAAGACUUUUAUAUGGUAUUAAAGAUGAUCAUAAUGUUCCUUUCUGGAAAACAGGAAGUUGAGACAUGCUGCAGCUGCUGCAUUCUUGACUGCUUUAACAUAAGACAAAAACAUGCCCACAAAAGAAGAAUACAGAAGAUGGAGUAUACAAAUAUUACUGCAUGUAAUUACUGCAGCUAUUGCAGUUGUACCAUCCAGCAAUUUAAAUCUGCUUCUGCUUUCCUUACAGCAGCGCUGUAGAGAUGUUGUAUAUGCAGUAUAUAUGUAUAUGCAUAUGUUGUAUAUUCAUUCAAGCAGAUUCCUUUUUGAACAAGUUGAUUGUUUCAAUAUUAGGAAAGAGAAGAAACAUGACAAGGAAGAAAAAAAGGCACAAGAGGAAGAAGAUGGUAUUAAGAGCAGGAAUUUCACUUUCCCAGUUUCUUUGAGCUCAGAGCAGUAGAGACAGAUGCACUCAUACCUUCCAAGAGGUAGACACACAAUAGCAUCACAGGGAAUCACAAGUCUUUGGAGAUUGUAAAUACAGCACCAAGGAUGCCAGGAUGAUGAAAUUUAGCUCUCUCCUACUUGGUAUCUUUCAAACAGAACACCAUAAAAUGAGUGAUCAAACAAUUCAUCUUGUUAUUUUUUUCCUUGUUAUCAAUUAUGCAUGCUGUAAUUUUAAUUAAUUCUUUUUUUAUUCUGCUACCUGUUUGUUUACAGUUAUUGUCAGUUAUUGUCAGGAAGCAUCAGUGGAACAAUAAUUUUUGCUGAUCUGUAUAAACUUCUGUACAUAACAGGCUGAAUCAAUGAAAUCAAUUUGUAAAAUGCAAGUUCAUUUAUUACAAUUCUUAAAAAAAAAAAAAAAAAAUCAUCCUUUUGCACAUUUUAAACAGUCUUCAUUAUCUUAAUGCCAGAUUAGAAGAUCACUAUUUUUGGUGAACAAGUACAUAAACUCUUCUAAGAAAUUUUCAAUUUUUACUUCUGCUAAAUCUGGACAGAAAUUAUUUUUAAUCUAUGUAGCAUUGUCUGUACAGUAUCAUAGCUCUAGCUAUAGAUAAAUCAUAAAAAAUGACCAUCAGGGAGUGUAUUUUCAGCACACAGAAAGCAGCCUGAUUUGUUUGUGCCUUGAAGACUUCCUCUGGCUGUCCAUAGAGGUUGUGAAGUCUCCAGGCUGGGAGAUACUCAAAGCUCAUGUGGAUGCAAGUCCAGGCCACGAUUCUGUAGAUGUCAGGAGGAAGAGGUCGGUGAGGCACUGGUACUGCUGCCCGGAGCUGCGGAUGCCCAAUCUCUGGAGGCACUCAUGGCAAGUUUCGAUGGGGCCCUGGGCAGCCUGAGCUGGUGGGGGGCAGCCCUGCUCGCGGCACGGGAUGGGAGCUGGGUGGGCGUUAAGGUCCUUACAACCCACGCCAUUUGGUGAUACAGUUCCACGAUAUCAGAAGCCUGCUUGGCACCAGGGGUGGGCAGAUGGCGGCCAUGCCAGCAGAGCAAGAGGCAGAAUGCCCGACCAGGCGCAGGUCCCGGACAGCGGCCCGACUCGUGAUGUUCCGCGGCAGCCGGCGGCGACACCUAGCGAGCGAGCGACAGGCUGCGGCCUCGGAGGGAGCCCAAGUUGGGCUCUCAACUUCGUGUUCGCUGCAGUAAACGCUGACAGAAGCGUCGAGGACACCUGUGACUUGACAGCCGACUUCCUUCUCUGCCAGGGACCGGUCUGAGCUGUACCAGGACUCGCUGCCCAAUCGGGCUGCGCUGCGAAGGGCUGCGGCGGGGCGGGCGCGCGGUGCGCUCAGCACGGGCUGCGUGGGGCUUGAGCAUCGCUGCAGAGCCUUGAGGCACAUAAAUGAGCUGCAGGGAGACCAGAUGAAAGGAGAACUGAUUCCGAUUUCAUAAUUAACUUUUUAGCUGGCCCUGUGGGAUCACCACUUCGGUAUCCCAGAAGGAAGAAAUGGAAGACUUCGGAUACCUGUGAACAGAUUUGUCCUAUGAACUAUUACAAGACAUGUAUAAGAUUUCAGAAAAAAUCUGCUUUUCGAAAUGAAAACUCAGAUUAAUCCCAAGAACACGAGACCUUGUCAGAAAAUGGAGAAACAUCACUGUCAUAGUGACAGUGUCAGAAAAAAGGAACCUUGAAGUUCCUGUUUGCUCUAGUGCAUAAUCCAUUCCUGAAUAGACCUUCAGUGCCAAAGGAAUAUAAAGUGACAAAUACCAUUUCAGUCUGUGAAACAAUCUCUGUGUUUCCUGAGCUCUAAAAACAGAUCUAACUUUCUCAGAGGUAAACUGAAAUUCUCUGAGGUAAAUACAGCAAAAGGAAUUAGGAAAUACAUAUGAUAGUUUGUAGAAGACUAAAUGUGGGAUUUUUUGUAUUACAAACCAUGCCUCACACUCGGCUAGAAUUGUAAGGGUCUAGUAUACAUGUGGCUAGCAUAGUUCAUAUGCUAUUGCAGAUCACCUAGAAUAAAGCUAAUUAUGAUGUUUAGCAAUAACCCAAAGUUAUGCAUGUUUGUCAAAAUUAGAACUUGACAGUAAAGACUUAAAGAUUUGUAUACUGCUAAGAUGACAAAAUGGGAACUACAAACACUGCUAUUUAUGUGGGAAAAAUAAAAAUAUAAAAAAGCAUGUGCUGCAACAGUUUUUAACUGAGAAAACAUUUCUGACAGCCUACUGAAAAGCAUUUGGUCAGUCCCCUGUAACAUUCAAAAAACAUGUAAGAAUAUUAGGAAAAAUGUGGCUAUGAUGUGUAGAGCUGUGACUGAAAAAGAUACAUAGAGUCUAGAAGAGUACAGGAAAAGGUUAUCAAAGUAAUCAGUUCUGUGAUUGAUUGGGUCACAGUGCACAAUGAGGUUAAAUACACUAGGAAUUUUCAGUAAUAAGACACAGUGAUUAAGGGACAAAUAUUAUGGAAGUAUAGAAAAUCAUAAGCAUUUUAAUUGCCAUGGGAUAGCACAGUGAUAAAAAUGGAUUUACCAUAUCUCUGGAGUAUAAGUCUGCAAUGAUCUGUUGAAUAUAAUUAUCCAAGUGUGACCUCUGGCUCUGGAGGGCUAUCAGAUAUGCUUUUCCCUCUUCCAUGUCUGCUGAUUUGAUUCCUUCAAAGGCUUUUUUUUUACUGCCUAAAAUAAUCAACUUUCAUUUGUCUGCCACUGAGGUAUUAUGAAAGCUUGUAGCAACAUUUAAUUUUGCCUUGGAAAUGAAAAUAUAUCUUUUUACAAGAACUUGCAUGUUUGCUUAUUUAAUGGUUUUCCUGUAUUUGAAGCACAAACAUAAAAUGCAAUCUCUUUAUUUGUAUGAAACAUUCAUGGAGCUCAGAACACAAGUAGAAAGUCAACAGACAGGUGUUCUGAAAGAUGCUGGGCUUUUGAUUUUAUUAUACUCCAAAGAUGUUGCUUUGUUAUUGAUUCAGGAGAUUAGCAAGUAUGUAGGGCCAUGACACACUAUUGUAUUCGAAGAAGUGUUUGUAUAGCACUAGCAAUGCAUGCAUUGCAAGGCCAGAAAACAUUGUGGUAACUGCCUGCUUUAAUCAGAGCCCAGAUGUAGUAAAGUUUAACUUUUGUCAAGCUAUUCUUGUACCAUAUCUCUUACUUAUUUUAUGAAGAGUUUACAUAUUUUCCAACAACCACCAAGCAAUAGAAACAAAUAUUUAAUACUCUCCUAACAUUGCCUUUGUAGCGUCAGCUUUGUUUCAGAAAUAUGCUGUCUUGUUUCCUGCAGAAUUUCCUUUCUGUGCCCUUUAUUGCUUCUCAGUUGCUUUAAUAACAUCCUUUAAUCUUUGCCUUUGGGACUAAAUAAUGAAUGUUCAACACCAUCUUUACUUUUAAAUGAUGCUUGAAAUGCAGAGCAGCAUAGUUUAUUUCUCCUUCAAAUCUAAUGAUACUUAGAAUUCUCAAUGCUUAAGCUGUAAAGACUAAGUAUAGAGCAACAAAUAAUGUGUUUCUGCGUAGCAGCCUUUACGGCAGCCAUUUAGAUAUCUCACCAGUUAUUCAGAUAUGUGUUUUUUGAUUAGUUGAUCUGCUGAUUUUUUUUUUCUUUCCAGUUUUCUGCUGUUCUGCCAGCUCUGCUGUUUGUCAGGCUUUGCAGGAGAAAGCCAGCUGUCCUGUUAAAUUACCAGUCUUCAAGAGGAAGUCAACCUCAGCUUUCUUUUAACUGAUAGAUAAACCUACACUGCCUGAAACAAAAUAAAAUAAAAAA